CGGUCCGUUUAACUUUAAGCCGGGGGUCUUGGAGGCACCGUAUAGUCUGAAUUCUAAGUCGAUAGAAAGGAAUUCGAAAAGCAAAACAAAAAUCAGAUUUCCCUUCCGAAAAAAAGAUCUAAAUGAUUCAAUAAAAAGGGCAAUUGAAUUUAAAGAAAACAUAAACUUUUGUGCAAUUGCAAAGCAUUAAUUAUUCUUUCCUUUGUUCUCAUUUUGAGAAAAUACC
rnacentral:lncRNA from 1 species